AUUAAAAACAUGGCUUAUUGAUAAUAAUUUUAAGUCUGGCCUGCUCAAUGAUUAUUUUAAAUAGCCGCAGUAUUUUGACUGUGCAAAGGUAGCAUAAUCAUUAGUUUUUUAAUUGAAAGCUAGUAUGAAUGGUUUAAUGAAAAAAUAGCUGUCUUUGUAAAAAUUUUUUAGAAGUUUAUUUUUAAGUGAAAAAGCUUAAAUAAGUAUAGUAGACGAGAAGACCCUAUAGAGUUUUAUAUAUUUUUAUAUGCUGUUUUUUGCACUUUAGGUAAUAGAAAAAUGUAUUUGAUUGGGGUGAUUGAAAAAUUUAUUAAACUUUUUUUUAAUAUAAACAAUAAUUUUUGAGCAUUUGAUCCUUAGUUUGAGAUUAAAAGAUAAAAUUACCUUAGGGAUAACAGCGUAAUUUUCUUUAGAGUUCAUAUCAAAAAGAAAGAUUGCGACCUCGAUGUUGGAUUAAAAUAAAUUAUUGGUGUAGAGGCUAAUAAAUUAGGUCUGUUCGACCUUUGAAAUUUUACAUGAUCUGAGUUUAAACCGGUGUGAGCCAGG
rnacentral:rRNA from 1 species